UAAAGGGGUGGGAUGGCAACUUCAAGAAAGGGGCAUAAAGUAUAGCUUGCUUGAGAUACAGGAUUUGUGCAAGAAACACUAACAGAUGAGAAACAAUGCACACAUAGAUGUUGGACCUCCCCCUCCCAGUCUUCAGGCUUGCCUCGCUUCCCACCGGAUCCAUUGCAAGACGGAUAAAGAGGUGACACUCAGACCAGGACCUUUAAGACUCACGAAAGGCACCACGCAAAGGAGACAGCGGAACGCCCAGGCAAAGUCCUUGAGCCUUAUGCAUCCAGAAAGCCUCUGACAAGCUUUUAUUCUGUGCCUGGUGCUGUGCUAGAAGCUGAGGACAGGGAGAGAACCAGACCCUCCAGGAACCCAUGGCCUGAUGUCUGGCUGAAAGUCGAAACAUGCUGCAAUUUCAUUGCCUUUCUUUCCGACAAGGAUUUCUGUAUUUUGUCAUUCUCUUCAAGUAAAGUUUGGACUGGCUCCUUUGUCUUUGAAGGCUGAGAGCUCGGUCUCCAAGCUCCUUUGACUGGAAGGCAUAUUAUGAAAUGGGAUGUACCAUCAGCAAGGAGGGCUGCUGUGUUGUGCAUCUCUAGGCGGCACUAUUUAUAUCACCAUCUAUGUAGAUGGUGCCCUUGGAAUUGAGCCUUAUCCAACCUGAACAACCAAAUAUGGAUACAUUGGCCCUGAUUCAACAGUAUUUACUGGAAGCAAGUGAGUAAACCUGGCCCACACUCAGGAAGAAGGAAAGGAUUACACAAGUGCAUGAAUACCAAGAAGAAAAGAUCAGUGACUCCAUCUUACAGGCUGUCUGCCACAAAGAACACUGAGGCUGAGAGCCAUCUACCAAAGGUCACAAACACCAGAGCAAGGGAAAACCAGCACUGGAACCGGGUGAUAUCUGGGAGCUGUGUCUCAAAAAUUUUUGGAGCAGCCCAGCCUCAGGAGAGCAGGUGGGAGCCCACAGCUCUGCACUGCUAGAAGCCACAUGACCAACUGAGAGUGAACCUCAAGACAACCUGGAACACGCUGUGCAUGCAUAUGCUCAAGAUCUUGACUAAGGAGGAGGGCUUUGGGCAGGGGAUGCCGCAUGAAGAAAUCCUAUACAGGGUACCUUUUUCUCUCAAUCUCUUGCUCUUUCCCACAAAAGAAAGAAAAUUAUACACAUUGUAUAUCUAGAACUAAGAAGGUAUUCAACACUUAACAUAUGUUAAAAAUACUAAGCAACUGCAUAUAAUCUCUGAAUAGUCAAACUGAUCAUCAUGUCAGACCUACAUAAUAUGUGAAAGCUUAGUUCUGUAGCCUAAUGGCCCGAAGCUCCCUCACAGUCCAGCUUUCUCACUCAACUUCACAGUGCCUGAGUUUCCUUAACUGUAAGAUGGGAAUAAAUAAUAGUACUUUUCCCACAGAGUGUCUGAUGGAGUGAAUGCUUUCUCUCUGGUGCCCGACACUUAGUAAGCAAUCAUAAAAGUUAGCUCCUCUUAAUCAGCCCUAAAGAAGAUUGUGAGGCACUGUGCUGAAUAAACACAUGUAAAACUGUCCCUGUUUUGUCUCUGAGGCCCUUCUUGAACUUUGUGACAUUCAACUGUAUGUUAAGCACUGGAUAAUCUUGGCACUCUUCAGUGUUACUAUGAAGCUUAACAUCCUACGUAUAGAACACACAUCACAUCACUUCUUGUUUAAUAAAGCAAAUUGCUCCCCACAUGGGUAGCAGUUCUCAUUUGUCAAUUAAUAUCUAAUUAGCUCUCUAAAUGCAAUGGGCAAAUUGGAUCCUGGAAAAUCAUUCCUUGUGCACUUGGUGAACUGAGAUAAACCAUGGGCCUCUUCUGCAGUUUGCUAGAGAUGUUGCAUAUGGUGACUAAACUGUGUCUAUAAGGUUCCCAGGAUGUUCCAGAAGCAGCUCUUCCUAGCUGCCUGCAGUUGUAGGCAUCUUCCUUCCUUCCACGAUUUUAAAAAGACUGUAGGAAUUGAGUGACCAACUUUCAUGGGGAUUAAUGGAGGCAAAAUGGAGCCAAUGUGAUAGCCAGAAAACCUACAGGUGAUAUUCAGUUCCAUGGAGAGUUUCAAGAUCUUUAUGAGAGGGGGAGGCAUAUCACUCCCUGAUCCCAAGAUAUACCUAUAAAGCUGUGA